GGUAAUUAAAUGGGUUGGAGUCUUCUGCUUUGGUCGUUGAGGAUCACUCGAUAAGAUUUUAGUGUGGUAUUUAGUUGCCUCGCAAGUGUUUUGUCGAGAAAUUCAACGAAACGAUCGGCAUAGGAUGAUGAUGACUAGAGCGCGUUGACAUAAUCACGAGACUCGAAAAAUUAAAAUUUGUCCCUUACAAGUUCUCGUGCACAGCGGUGCGGGCGAUGGCAUUUCUCGGUGCAUUUGCGUGUUAUUUUGACCGCUUUUCGCUUAGAAUUGUUGUCGCCUAGCGUACGUGGUGGCACAUGAGUGGUGAAUGGAUCAUUUGGUUUGGUUGGCUCCUUGCUCACGUGCAACGAACUAUCAAGUCUUGAUUCUCUUCAUUUGAAUACCCCCGGUGCCAAGUGCACUUUGGGGGACGGAUGGUUCCUGUAUUGGCUACCCACUAUAGAGGAAAUCGAAUGUUCAUUAAAUCUUUUUCGCCCUUUGUUCUUCUUAAGAAAAAGGGUGAACCAAGUAGCUUUGCCCGUGUUCCUAGCAAGCAUGCCGAAAAGCUGUUGCUAUGGCACAUGGACAAUGACUUGUGCUCUCGGGUGCAGAAAGCAAUGAGGGCGGACGAAACACAUUCGUCCAUUUGCCCAGUUGUUCCUUCAAAUGAACGACGUCCGUGCUCGUGCUGAUUUGGUCAUUAUCUUUGGUAAUGACUAUGGUCACUCGGGUUUCGG
rnacentral:misc_RNA from 1 species